CCAAAUGCAGCGCACUAGUCUUUAAUUACUAACCGCUUUAGUUCAAGCAGCGUCUCCUGCUGUUUCUCUUCUCGUUGAUGAUCAUGGACUUCGAAGCUCAGGCUCAGAAAAGUUCGGACGAUUCUUCAACGUAUUAGCUGCUUGUUUAUUCUUUCUGGCGGAGCUCCUGCUCGUGGCGUGUACGCUUUGCGUUGAAUCUUAAAGGGCUUUCUUACGAGUACAGAGCAGUAAACCUUGGGAGAGGAGAACAAUUAACUCCAGGUGUCAAGUAUCGUCAGCUUAAGCAAACAACACGGCCCAUCUAGCUCAGUUGGUAGAGUGCAAGGCUCUUAACCUUGUGAUCGUGGGUUUGAGCCCCAUGGUGCCAAGUAUCGUUAGCUCAAGCUAACAACAAAGCCCGUCUAGCUCAGUUGGUAGAGCGCAAGGCUCUUAACCUUGUGGUCGUGGGUUCAAUCCCCACGGUGGGCGGUGUCAAGUAUCGUCAGCUCAAGCAACAAACAAGGCCUGUCUAGCUCAGUUGGUAGAGUGCAAGGCUCUUAACCUUGUGGUUGUGGGUUCGAGCCCCAUGGUGGGCGAAAACUAUGGAGGAAAAAUUUGGUCCACAAUAGCAACUACCAUGAGCUCAGUCCAAUCUACAAAAAGGUUUCAAUGAUCGUGAGAAACUGCUGAAGGAUUUUUCUGGCCAAUAUGCUUUUGGAGAUAAGUACAUGUGACAUGUUCCAAGUUUCCUACUUUAGCAAGGAUUUAUGGAUCUUACAAGAAGUUACGAGAAUUCCUAGCCUCGUCACCAGAUAAGCAACCCAACGCCCUUCUUUAGGUGUCUACAAGGCGGAGGCGCAAAAACAUGUGAUAUCAUUAACAGCUUCAAGUCGGUAGGGUAUAAGGCUCUUCACCUUGAGAUCGUUCGAACCCCAUGGUGGGCAAAGGUAAUUUUUUUCUUCUGUUUUUAUGUUUUUCACAAAAGGUAUUCUCAAAGCUUGGUAGGUUGAUUACUAAUCUCGAUUAUGUUUUUUUUCCCCAAAAAUGCAAUUAGAUUAGAAACAAAUCUAGAAAUAGAUAAAUUGGUUAAGAUAUGUAUUUUUGAAUAAAAUGUCAAAUAGCAAAACUACCCGUUUAAGUCCGUUGAUCUUGCACAAGGCUCUCAACCUUGUGUAUUCUAUUCGGUUUUGACAAUUUUUAGUACAAAUAAUAGUUAUUUAGAAAAAGAAAGUAAUUAGCCAUGCCGAAAAAAAUCUCAGAAGAAAAAGAAAUCUAUUCCAAGAAGAGGUUGGGAGUUAUUUCUUUAUUGAUUUAGGUUAAAGCUUCAAACACGAAAUAUUUAAAACCAUUAGAAUUAGUGUAGGCAGAUUUGUUCUCUGUAUUUGAAGUGAGGAGGCGAUUGGAUUCUAUAAAUUCUGAACAUCCAAUACAAAAAUUCUAGAAAAUUACAGAGUGAA